UUUAAACACUGGUCAGGGAUCAUAAACAGAAAAUUUGGACUAAACCACGUGAUAUGUAUAGAUUAGAUCUCCUUAUGAAGUAUCAAAGUGGUAGUUGCGUGGACCAUCAAUCAAGGGACAGAAAUCUUAUAUUCUAUUACAAUAUCUUCCGUUGUGUUUUAAAGAUGACGAAAGUCUUGGUUGAGUAAACGAUGGAAUUUUGAUUUCUGAACUAACCCUGUAAUAAAAGAAUGUGGCCAUAUGCAUCUUGUGCUUGUUCGCUUGUUCAUCACCCAAGAUGCAUGCUAAUGCCAGGUGUGAACAGAGCCACUGUGUGACUACACAGUAAGUUUAGCAGAAUGGUUCCUGAGAGAGAGAUUGUCAUUAUUUUUUAUUUAUUUAUUUUCCAGGAAACCAAGUUCCUGGCUUUUCCCAAGACCUUCAAGGACACGAUUGACCUCGGAAUCAGCUGUAAAGGAGGAUGAAACCGAUGUUCAAGAAUGGGACAGCGAUAUUGCAUCAAUGUGUCUCCUUCAUUUGAUUCCACCAUCACCACAAGGCUGCAAGGGACCUGGAGAAAUGUCCUCCUAUCAAGCUGAAAAACAUCUUCAAAAAGGCACUAACCAGAAGAACACCUUGUAGAGACCACACAGCCAUACCUGCUCGCUGAUGGGACAACGAGGAACCGUGUUCAUGGAUGCUACACAACUGUCGACAAGUAUCUUGCUGCAGUCUUGUUCAAAUCUACCUGUCAUAUUUGUUAAUGUCUAGGUAAAUUUGAUGAUUUUAUGUGUUUUAUCAACUGUUUUGUUUCCGUGCAACACUUAAUGAAUGUGACUGACUAAUUAACCUCUACACAUCUGGUAUAUGCUUUAAAGUUGCCACU